rnacentral:rRNA from 1 species
UGGCGAACGGGUGAGUAACACGUAAGAAUCUACCUUUAGGACGGGGAUAACUUCUGGAAACGGAUGCUAAUACCCGAUAUGCUGUGGAGUGAAAUGAAUUUCGCCUAAAGAUGAUCUUGCGUCUGAUUAGCUAGAUAGGGUGGUAAUGGCGCCCUAUGGCGACGAUCAGUAGCUGGUCUGAGAGGAUGGACAGCCACAUUGGGACUGAGACACGGCCCAAACUCCUACGGGAGGCAGCAGUGGGGAAUUUUCCGCAAUGGGCGAAAGCCUGACGGAGCGACGCUGCGUGAAGGAUGACGGCCUGAGGGUUGUAAACUUCUUUUCUCGAAGAAGAAUCAAUGACGGUAUUCGAGGAAUAAGCAUCGGCUAACUCUGUGCCAGCAGCCGCGGUAAGACAGAGGAUGCAAGUGUUAUUCGGAUUGAUUGGGCGUAAAGCGUCUGUAGGCGGUUUAGAAAGUCUUUUGUGAAAUACUUCAGUUCAACUGGGGCUCCCGCAAAGAAACUUCU